GCUUUUAAGGGCUGAUUAUUUAUGGAUCUAUAGUACACAGUGCCAGCAGGAAUAAAUUUCCCCAUCCAAAUCAGUUAUUUUCCCAGCAUGAGGCACUCCCUUCAAAAUAGACGCACCCACCCCCUCGUCACCCAGCACAUCCCCACUGGGGUUUGCUGGAGAUUCCUGCCACCUAAUAGUGGCUUUUUAGUGCUUUUGGUCUCCUGUCUCCCAUAUUAGCCAUAAGCAGAUGCACAAGAGCGAGCUGGAACAGGUUGGGGUGUUUGAACUCUUGGAGCUCCUCAUCCACUCUCCUCUUCAGGCUACAGAUUUUUUCUGCCUGCGUCACCGUUGGGUAAGGAUUUCAGCAGCUUGGCUGACCCCUCCAUGUGAAAACCCAUCUAAGUACCUCUAGUUCUUGCACUGGAAAAGUCUCUCUUCCUUGCAAAGGAGAAUUAAAUUCCUCCUGUAUUGCCUGAAGCCUCCCCUCUGCACCUGGAGAAGAGGAGACGACGGGAGGAUGGCUCGCUGCCUGCAAACCCUGCACACGCUGCUCGGUCAUUGGAUUUCUGUGUCUCAUUGCACCUGGAAAAGCUGGAAUUAAAGUUGCAUGUGUGUCAUGUCGCACGGUCCCAGUGUGGAUGUGCAAAUGUGCAUCCACCCCGGUCCUUCAUUCUGUGGAUUUAAUGAGAAACGUUCUUACACCGAACGCAAACGGCUCCUCUGUGGCUCCGCAGCGAUGCACAGCGCUCGGCAGGGACGGUGGCACAGCCAGACCUGUUCCUGCACCCAGCCAGGGCUGCCGGCAUUGCCACCCAGCAGGCUCAUUGGGUUAAUCAGAGAUGCUGGGAUUUAUGCUUUUUCUUCAGAUAGAACCCUCUCUCCAAAACAUCCCUGCCUGAAUUAACCCAGACUGCUCUCAGAGCCUUCCGCAGAUCCACACAGAUGAGUUAACCGUGGUUCUGAUCCAGUAUUCUAGUUCGCUCAUGCCCAGUUACUCCAGGGGUGUAACAUAAGGAUCAAAAGAGCAAGAAAUGCACUUAAAAAAUGACCAGCAUCUCUGAAGUGACAGCAUCCGGGAGCAGAAGGAGCAAACCAAUCUCUGGGAGGAAAAAUCGCUGCCAGCACCAACGAGAGAUUGGGAGCAGGUGCUGGCCAGGGGUCCCGCAAAUGAGAUGAUUGAGGAGCCACUCGCUUGAAUGACGUGGCCGGCGGCAGAGAUGGAAGUGGCUCUCAGGGGCAAUUAGGAAAUCAUCAGUAUUGCCCACGCGCGGCCGUGCCAGCGCCCGGGGCUGGACCCACCGGCAGCAUUUGGCGGAGGGUGGCCGGGGGGUGUCUGCGUUAUGGAGGGGCUGGGUGCCUGCAGGGGGGUGGAUCUUGUUGGACACAUUUUCUGGUUGGUUGAUUAGUUCUGUGCCUUUUUGGCCCUGAUUUACCUGUCAGUCCCGAUAUUGUUGUUAAUUAGAGCGUAUGUCCAGAGCGAGCGAGUGCAGUGUGAGUGGCUGGCGGGUCUGUCGUUAGCGGGGCUGAUCCGGUUAUGUGUCCUGGCACCCUCGUGCCUGUGAUGCUUGGGUACCAGUGACCAUCAGCUGCUUCGUAUCCUGCCAACACCUGCUCUGCUGAGUCAGCAGGUUCCUUGCUCUGGCAGAGACAGCAAAACACAGUUUUGGUCUCAUAACCACAGGCCCAGAGCUGGAUUUACUCACUGGGCUCUGAGCUCCUCAACUGCAGAACUGGUGAGUGCCACCCCACCAGAAGCUUUUCAGGACAAAGUUAUGUCGCCAGGUGGGGUGCAGGGUUCCCCAAACAUGUGGGGGAAUCCGCAGCCUUUGGGCUUUCCCAGCCUGUGGGGCUUGGGAUGCUCAGCUGGGAUCGUCACCUCCCCUCCAGAGCCCCUGUGCCAGCCCCUCCUCAUCUCCAUCCUCUCCCCCUUCCCUCCAGCAUCCUUCUCCCGGGCCUGGCAUGUCCCUGGUCCCAGCUGCAGCCCGUCACUGCCCCUGGUUACAGCCCAGAGAUGACAUUACCCAUCUCAAGGUCAGGAAGAGCUUUGGGGUUAUCACUGUGCUCUCCCCAGGCUCUGCUUUCCCACCACCGCACUCCCUUCAUCAGCAAGAAAACUCUCUUUUCUUAACACUUAUUAAGCCCUAAUUUUCAUCUUACUCAUUACUACCAAGUCAUUAAGCUGGCAAGGAAUUAAAUGAGGUGAAAUGAAAAGAAUUGAAAGAGGACUGAAGGGUUUGGGGCGGUUGGUUUUUUUUUUUUAAAAAGGCACCAGCAAAUAAUCUCCCAGGAUUAAGCAGGUGAGAGCGACUAACCCUGCGGAAGGACACGUAAGACUUAAAAAUGAGGUUUCUAAUUAAGAAGAGGCAGCAAAGGACCCCAGAGGGUUUCUGUCCGCUCCUCCCUGCCCACCGAGGUGACAGCGAGCACAGCCGGGCACGGGUGACUCCUGGACGUUAAUGUCUCUGCUCAAAUAAAAGACACUACAGUGAGAAACUGGGGGCCCAGUGGACAUUUGUGAGGCUUCCAAAAAUAGUCGUGGCCAAAGUCACUGCUGUCAGCACCAAACUGAGGCCUUGAGCUUAUAUAUGUGUGUAUUUAAGGAUAUUAUUUAAUAUAUUAAUAGGUUACAUAGAAAUAUACUAAUAUAUUAAUAUGUUUAGGGCUGUGUAUAUAUAAAGCUGUUGCUUUCAGGAAACAAUCUUCAACCUGCAGAGUUAUCGACCAGCCUUUGCUGGGCAUCUUCUCUAACAGGAGGCAGGGAGACCACAAGACCAAGGUGUGUGCAGCACAACCCUCUUUCUGGCCUGAACUGGUGUUACUGGUUUUAAACCCAGUUGGGUGGGAAGACCUGAGUUCCCACAUUCACCCAGUGAGUUGGGGUUUGCUUCCAGCCCUGCUUCACAUUCAGCACGUCCCUGGUUGCAUCACGACCCCGCCGGUCUCCUCUUCAUUUUGAUGCAUUCAGGAUCGUAAGAGGCUGUUAUUUUAUGAUGGAUUAACGACGCUGUAUUUGCUUUUAGCCUGUUUUAUGGUGCCCCGAGUGUCUUGGCUAUAACUCUUCUGUUUAUUUGUUUUAUUAUCCCAAUAGGCUGCUCAUGAAGAUUACUGUGAAAACACCCACGUCCCCCACCGCGUGCUCCCCCGGAGAGGCUGGAGGAGACAUCCCAGGUGCUGCUCAGCCUGUCUGUACUGUGGGAAUGCUGCUUUGAACUGGGCUUUGCUGGUUGGGGCUGGUUGUGAAGCGGGGGAGUGAGGGAGGGGGCCAGGAAGCCAAAGUUGCUUUAACUCAGUGUCUGUCUCAAUGCAUCCACCCGCUUGUGUGCAGGGCAUGGCGGGGAGGUCAUCCUGGAGCAAGAGGAGCUGGAGCAAUGACCAAGGGCUUAGGAAAGGAGGUGUGGAGCCAUCACCACUGCGGUGGCUCACAUCCAUCUCCUCCUCAUCCUCACUGCUGGGUCCCUUCUCCAUCCUCACCUGGGUAUCACUAGCCACCCCUGAGACAAGCUGUGCAUGCAGCUGAGGUUUGGCUGAAAGGCACACAGAGGCUCAGGGCUGUCCUCACCUUUGGGGAUGACUUUGGGGGUACCCCCAGCCCCGUACCCACUCACCACCCCAGCUCCUCUCCCGCCUCCCCGCCCCGGGCAGCUCCAGCAGCAUCUCACCUCCCCUCUCCUCUCCUCUUCUCCCCAGGGGUUGGUGCAUUUGCGGUGAAGUACCUGAGCGCUAAUAACUCACAUUAGCACCUUUGGCUGAAGGAUGUCAGCGCCAAGGGCCAGGUUCCAUUUCAGCUGAAAGCCCAGCUGCUCAUUUCCAGUAGCAAAGAUCACCUCGGAGCUUCAGGGAUUAGAGCGGGAGUGACUUGGGUCACCUUCAAGUUCUGUUUGCUCUGUAGUGUGGGGCAGGAAGGGUCACUUGUCCAUGGAAAAUGACCUGGAAGAAAAGCAAGGUUUUAAAGAGCAUUUGUGUAUGAGUUGGGUUUGCAUUUGAUGCUUUGAAUUGGGCCCCUCCAUCCUGUCCUUCCUGAAUAUCCCCAGGCUACGCAGUGACUUGUCUCCCUGUCCAGGAGACCCUUCAUGGAGGUGACGUGAACUGCACUGUGAUGGAGCAGGUCUGGACACGGAGCUCCUCUAAUCUUCAUGGGCAGCGGGACCAGCUUCUGGUCGAAAGGGAGGGUUUGCCACAGAAGUGUGUCCGUCUCCAGCAGUGACCUGUAAUGACGCUUCAAGGAAGGAAAAAUUCAGUUUUACCAGGCAGAGACUGAGGUAACUUUGUUUUUUAAAAAAUUAUUAUUUUUACUUAAUUCUUUAGCUCCAGCUAUAGUGCUAUGGCCUCUGUGAUGCAGAGUGGGACAAGCUGAUGUGCAAGUCAUCCUACAGGGAUGGACUGGGGACCAUCUUUGUCACUGGGAAGAUGUCCCCAGAAUUUGCAAGUGGAAAGGGCUGCCCAGGACAUACUGUCCCCUGGGCUCUGGAAGCAAAGAGCGAUCUUCCCACCUUUCCUGGCCUCCAGAACCAGAACGUAACCCCCUGCACACAAGUCAGGACAGGCUCCAGAGUCCCUGCUUGGAGCUGCUUUUGCUCUUCAGUGACAGCCAGGAUGGACACACAGUUGGGUCAGCCAAGUCAGCAGCUGAGAUCCAGCCAUGCACAGCAAAGAUCUUUAUUGAAUUACCUGCCACUAUCUCAAUAAACCCCGAGAGGAUGAGCUAUCGAUGUGAACCUCGGCGUGUGGUGAGGUGAAAGGACAGCCAGACAUCUGACCGCUAAGGAAGUGCUGACAGACAAACCUUGGGGUACCAGACAGCUUGUUAGCCUCUCCCUCCAGUGUUGGCCAAUAUAUACUUUGUGAUGAUUCA